ensembl:lncRNA
ACGUUUGCCGUGUUUCUGUCGAUAUUAUGGAGCAAAUUUUGAAAAAAGUUCGGCGUUAUAGUUUAAGUAUUUUUCGGUCGAUUUCUCAGCCAAAACUGAUGAACAAACGGGACUUUUUUCACCUACAAAAAUAUUAUUUUUGGAAAAAAGGAACAUUUGCUAUCUAAAUGGGAGUCUCCUGAGUGAAAGCAUCUGAAGUUCUUCAAAGGUCCAUCCCUCCCCCUGGUUAUCGGUGGCCAGCCAGCGUAUACGGUGAGACGCCUCCUGAAGGUUCGACCACGGGGCAGGGGUUUCCAGUACCUGGUUGACUGGGAGGGUUAUGGCCCGGAGGAGAGGUACUGGGUCCCGGCUAAAGACAUCUUGGAUCUGGCCCUCAUCGCCGAUUUCCACCGCCGACACCGUGGUCAGCCAGUCCUCCUGGUUUUGACCCUUGACUGUUUUUGGACUUUGUACCCGCCUGCCUGACCAUUCUGCCAGCCUUGACCAUGAGCUGGUCUGCCACCCACUCUGCACCUCCUGGACUCUGAUCUGGUUUUGACCUUUUUGCCUAUCCACGACCAUUCUCUUGC